CCUACGGGAGGCAGCAGUGGGGAAUUUUGGACAAUGGGCGCAAGCCUAAUCCAGCAAUGCCGCGUGAGUGAAGAAGGCCUUCGGGUUGUAAAGCUCUUUCGGACGGAAAGAAAUCGGCGGGGUGAAUAAUCCUGCUGGAUGACGGUACCGUAAGAAGAAGCACCGGCUAACUACGUGCCAGCAGCCGCGGUAAU
rnacentral:rRNA from 1 species